rfam:Faecalibacterium cf. prausnitzii KLE1255 F_prausnitziiKLE1255.K95-1.0_Cont256.5, whole genome shotgun sequence.
GGGGGCGUAAAGGUUUCGACGGGGAGAGCGAGGUCUGGGCAGCGGGUAGCAGUGGGGGAACUGCUCUAUAACUCCUCCAAAAAAAUUAACUGACAAUAACAAUUCUCAGUUGCUCGCAGCCUGAGUGCUGCGCGUUCCGCCCACUCUUGUGUCGUGUGGGGUCGGGGCGUCCUUUAGACACAGCACCUGAACGGACUUAAGCUUUGCGGACCGGCAGGAACUCAUGAAGCUACCAAUGCGCUAGCCUGACGAUCGGCGUGGCGCGGCGGGAAUGUUGUAGAUCGCCUGCACCCGGAGAUACCUACACUGAACUCUUUUCGGACAUGGGUUCGACUCCCAUCGCCUCCACCA